GAUGAACGCUGGCGGCGUGCCUAAUACAUGCAAGUCGAGUGAACAGAUGAGGAGCUUGCUCCUCUGACGUUAGCGGCGGACGGGUGAGUAACACGUGGAUAACCUACCUAUAAGACUGGGAUAACUUCGGGAAACCGGAGCUAAUACCGGAUAAUAUAUUGAACCGCAUGGUUCAAUAGUGAAAGACGGUUUUGCUGUCACUUAUAGAUGGAUCCGCGCCGCAUUAGCUAGUUGGUAAGGUAACGGCUUACCAAGGCAACGAUGCGUAGCCGACCUGAGAGGGUGAUCGGCCACACUGGAACUGAGACACGGUCCAGACUCCUACGGGAGGCAGCAGUAGGGAAUCUUCCGCAAAGGGCGAAAGCCUGACGGAGCAACGCCGCGUGAGUGAUGAAGGUCUUCGGAUCGUAAAACUCUGUUAUUAGGGAAGAACAAAUGUGUAAGUAACUAUGCACGUCUUGACGGUACCUAAUCAGAAAGCCACGGCUAACUACGUG
rnacentral:rRNA from 1 species